CCUAUCAACAACAACAACAAAAACGUCGGUGUGCCCCUGUGUUCACGCCCGUUCGCGCGCAGAUGAGCACGCUCGACUCGUCCAAGUUCAGAGCAAACACAUCAAUUUAUAUGCAUGACUGCAUCUAUUGUCUACUUGCAAGUUGGACAGUUUUGGUUGGAAGCUGUGACCCAGCACGCAUACAAGCACAUGUCAAGACCGGGUGAUGAUUAAAGCUGUCAACUAGGAAGAAUAACUGAGGUCGAUAUUCAUGAAAUCAGGUCCUGGAGGGCAGGUAGUUUCCCCUGCUGAUGUGUUGGGCAGAUCCCACCACCCUCCAGAGAGCCCUGCGGUUGUGGGCGGUGCAGUUGCCAUACCAGGUGGGGAUACAGCCCGACAGGAUGCUCUAUAUUGUGCAUCUAUAAAGGUUGAAAAUGGACGCAGUGGCUGUACAGUAACAUCCGGUUCAUGAUGUUAGAGCUCCAGUUCUCCGCUUCACAGCACAGUAUGGGUUUUGCCUGACAGCAGUUAUAAACUUGAACACUGCAAGCAACAAGAAGAUGCCCCCAUCAAUCCUGCUAACUGGGCUAUUUUGCACAUUUGUUGUUGUCUGAGUGAGGUAAAUGCUGUAAAUCAAGAGGAGUUGAAGUGUUCUGAAAGAUAGAUGAGACAUUGAGGAUUAUAAUAAAUACCACUUAG